rnacentral:rRNA from 1 species
CUGGGUGCAGCCUAUACAUGCAGGUCGAGCGGACAGAUGGGAGCUUGCUCCCUGAUGUUAGCGGCGGACGGGUGAGUAACACGUGGGUAACCUGCCUGUAAGACUGGGAUAACUCCGGGAAACCGGGGCUAAUACCGGAUGGUUGUUUGAACCGCAUGGUUCAAACAUAAAAGGUGGCUUCGGCUACCACUUACAGAUGGACCCGCGGCGCAUUAGCUAGUUGGUGAGGUAACGGCUCACCAAGGCAACGAUGCGUAGCCGACCUGAGAGGGUGAUCGGCCACACUGGGACUGAGACACGGCCCAGACUCCUACGGGAGGCAGCAGUAGGGAAUCUUCCGCAAUGGACGAAAGUCUGACGGAGCAACGCCGCGUGAGUGAUGAAGGUUUUCGGAUCGUAAAGCUCUGUUGUUAGGGAAGAACAAGUACCGUUCGAAUAGGGCGGUACCUUGACGGUACCUAACCAGAAAGCCACGGCUAACUACGUGCCAGCAGCCGCGGUAAUACGUAGGUGGCAAGCGUUGUCCGGAAUUAUUGGGCGUAAAGGGCUCGCAGGCGGUUUCUUAAGUCUGAUGUGAAAGCCCCCGGCUCAACCGGGGAGGGUCAUUGGAAACUGGGGAACUUGAGUGCAGAAGAGGAGAGUGGAAUUCCACGUGUAGCGGUGAAAUGCGUAGAGAUGUGGAGGAACACCAGUGGCGAAGGCGACUCUCUGGUCUGUAACUGACGCUGAGGAGCGAAAGCGUGGGGAGCGAACAGGAUUAGAUA